rnacentral:rRNA from 1 species
GUGGGGUAACGGCCUACCAAGGCUUUGACGGGUAGCGGGUCUGAGAGGAUGAUCCGUCACACUGGGACUGAGACACUGCCCAGACUCCUACGGGAGGCUGCAGUCGAGAAUCUUCCACAAUGGGCGAAAGCCUGAUGGAGCGACGCUGCGUGCAGGAUGAAGGCCUUAGGGUUGUAAACUGCUGUCACGCUAUAGGAAACCGUAGGGGUUAAUAGCCUUUGCGUUGACCAAAGCGAGAGGAAGUGCCGGCUAACUCCGUGCCAGCAGCCGCGGUAAGACGGAGGGCGCAAGCGUUGUUCGGAAUCACUGGGCAUAAAGAGCACGUAGGCGGCUAGCUAAGUCUGGUGUGAAAGCCCUCGGCCCAACCGGGGAACAGCACCAGAUACUGGCUGGCUCGAGGACAGGAGGGGUGAGCGGAACUCCAGGUGGAACGGUGAAAUGUGUAGAUAUCUGGAGGAACACCGGUGGCGAAAGCGGCUCACUGGCCUGUCUCUGACGCUGAGGUGCGAAAGCUAGGGGAGCGAACGGGAUUAGAUACCCCGGUAGUCCUAGCCGUAAACGAUGGGCACUAGGCAGCGGGCCUUCCUAUGGGGUUCUCUGCCGUAGCUAAUGUGUUAAGUG